CAAGGCAGAAUUGCAGUAUCGUCUCCUAUACGCAGCAAGCAAGCAAACUAUUAAAAUCCUUUUGCGAUGGCUUACUUAGAAGUCAAAUAUCCUGAGAUCUCAGUAUGCCAAGCACUGGAAAGUAUUAUGAAGCGUCUUUUUCAGGAUUUGGCAACCAGAAGAAGUUUGCACCUUUGUGGAGCUUCCACUCCGCCCUUUCUUUCUUCGUUGCACCUUUUGUGAUCUUGAAACAGAAGACAAAAGAGAUGCUGAAUCCUAAUGCCGGCAUUUACAUUUUCUGGUAGCGGAUGAUGUAGAAGAACAGCGGCUUCAAAUGCACCCAGUACCUGAGGGCGAAGCGCGGCAUGAUACUCCUUCAUAAGCUCGGGAGAAUAGAGGGAAGAGAUGGGUUGAAAUGGAUUUACAGUCACGAGACUGCAGCCAG